UCGGGAAUUUUGGGCAAUGGGCGAAAGCCUGACCCAGCAACGCCGCGUGAGGGAUGAAGUAUUUCGGUAUGUAAACCUCGAAAGAAUGGGAAGAAUAAAUGACGGUACCAUUUAUAAGCUCCGGCUAACUACGUGCCAGCAGCCGCGGUAAUACGUAGGGAGCAAGCGGUGUUCGGAUUUACUGGGCGUAAAGGGCGCGUAGGCGGCGCGGUAAGUCACUUGUGAAAUCUCUGAGCUUAACUCAGAACGGCCAAGUGAUACUGAUGUGCUAGAGUGCGGAAGAGGCGACCGGAAUUCUUGGUGUAGCGGUGAAAUGCGUAGAUAUCAAGAGGAACACCUGAGGCGAAGGCGGGUUGCUGGGCCGACACUGACGCUGAUGCGCGAAAGCCAGGGGAGCAAACG
rnacentral:rRNA from 1 species